ACAACAACAUUCGGACCGUCGGUCUACCGAGCAAUAUCACCCGUUCGGUGGAAGAUCUUCCCUUUGUCGUAUAUU
rnacentral:pre_miRNA from 1 species